UCCGUCAUUAUAUACGCUAUCGAGGCGAAGAAAAUAAUUAUAUCAAUUUUUCAAAUUUCAACAAAAUCAAACGUGGGGGUCGACCUCCUUGAGAUAAUUAACCUUUGAUGCACGUUGAUACCGGGUAUAAAAUAUCGUUCACGCUGCAUCCAUCCGCCAUUGUUUAUAUACUCGGAGUUUUUAGUAUACCGUCUUAUACCUACCUACACACACGCGCGUCUAUAUGGGAACUAAAUUUUUCUACCUGCCCGCAACCUCUCAUCUCAUAAUACCUCGUCGUGAUCCUUCGUUUUGAGGAACGUCGGGGCUGCAAAGUGCACAGCAGAAUAGAGGGGCACUAAUAAUACAGGACUGUUAGCACCAUAUCCUCAGCAUACAGGUACCACGGUGUGUGUGUGUAUAUACCUCCUAUAAGUAUGGGCGUAAUAUAUUUAUGCACUAUGCGAAUUUUUUCAACAACCCGUGAACUGCAGCGAACGGGAACCGCAACUCUCGCCGACUAAUAUAUGUACACAUAUACAGAUCGACAUGUGGACAUAGCUGCGCGCACGUGUGUAUAUCAUUGUAUGAGUUCACAUGUGCAUCGAUAUGCGGCGCAGCUUCAAGAGAGAAGAUGAAAUAAUUCACUCUGUAACUGCAGCGGCAGAAACGCACGUUCAACGGUGUAUAUACCAUGUAUACCUUCGUUCGUUUGUUGCACACAAUGUGUCUACCGGGGGAGGAGGGUAUGACCGGACGUUUGUAUAUUAUCAAAGUGAACAGUUCCGUGUGUACUCUGUACGCAAUAUUACGACGUAUAUACAGGUAUAUAGGUAUAGGUAGAUGUGUAGGCAUAUAUUAUUGGGACACGCGUGUAGCACACGAUAUAUAUAUGUAGUAGUAUAUCGUCGGCAAGGUGUACGAUUAUAUUACGAGCACACGAUCCCGUGUUAAACUUCCGUAAAUACGCCGCAGUUUCCUAUCGGUAUAUAUACGACCCUGCGCAUGAACAGCGAGUAGCUAAACAUAUAACCGUAAUGUAGGUACACGUGUAUUCUGUAAUAUAUACAUAUAUAGACGAGCGAGUGUAUAUACAUAUGUACAUAUGUGUACAAAAUAUAAAGUAUACGCGUCGUCGUCACGCGACACUAUCGGCACGAUCUGGUUAAUCGGUAAUGGCGCUAUACCAACAACAAUAGUAACGAGUCCGGUAUAACAACGACGAUAUCGUCUGUCCUAUAUAUAUAUUUAUAAUAUGUGUAGAUACGUAAUGGAAGAACGUACAGUGAUUUACCGAACGGCGUAAGGUGUUUUAUAAUUUCUGUUCAUAUAUUCGAGUUUCACCAUAUUCUAGAAGAGACGAGUUGAUCGAGGGUGAUUUUUACCACCGCACAUGCCUAAUACGUACGUGAGCACACAUAUGUACAUACAUAUGCAUAACUGCAGCAUGGCAUGUAACAUAGCACGACGGAUUUAGAAACAGCAAUGAGACGGUUGAUCGAUGCGGGGGAAACCUCCCGGGAUGCACAUACCUAUACACAUGCCGUGGAUAUAUACUGCGGGCUCGCUAGCUGCAACCCGUUACCCGCGAGCGAAACAGUCGUUGAAAAAGCCUCCACGAGCAUCAAGAGGGAGGGUAGCUCAGCUGCGGAAAGAGAGAGCGAGAGAGAGAGAGAGAGAGAGAAAAAGAGAUGAAGGGAAGUGCAGCAGCAUCUCUUCCAGAAGCCAAGGGGUGUGCAGCCAACGGUUGCGCCGAAGCCACGCGAGAAUGCCCGCCUACACCUGAUGCAGCAACCUUCGGCUUUUCUUCGACAGCCGCACGUUCAAUCCACGCGGACACUUAUACGUAUAUGUACAUAUAUACCACCGUUCGCAACGCUAUCUUCUUCUUUUGAGUUCUGCAGAAGAAUCCCCGCCCCAGGGGCGACCGGCGGUCGAUUGUUUCUUGCACUUUGCCGGACAUAAGACGACGCUAUACCCGAAUUACGGAAAACCAGGUACCCGGGACUUCCUCCGGUAUCGCAGCGUCGCGGCGCCUUUUAUAAUGUAUUUAAACUCCCGAGAUAGUCGCGUAAGAUCGCCGGGCAUCGUUCUGCACGUGAUACUCGUCCGAGGGAUUCGGAGAUGAGAAACUCCCCAACUCUUAACUUCGAUAAAAAGGUUUUAUCGGUGUCGGGGAAAAAUUCAAAUCUUUCAAAUAAAGACGUGCGUAUACCAAUGUUUCUCGCAUCGGGUAAAAGAACAAUGAAAACAAAUACAUAUUCGCUCACAGCGUCGUAGACCGCGCUACUUUUUUCUAUACUCUACGUGUAAAGUAAAACCCACAAUUUUAAAUCUGGCCAUUUUUCUAAUAAUAAUCAUCUCUCCCGAGUAUUGCAAACGUGAGAAAUCCUCACGUCAUUCGACGUUCGCUUUUUAUAUCUAUGCAGCACAAUGAUAUAAAUUUCAAAUCUGCCACAGCCGAUCACGUUUCAAAUUAUUCAUUAUAACUCGAUGUUGAGCUUUUAUCGUUCACUGUACAUGCGAAACUUGGCACGUACACGGUAAAAGUAUACCAAAAAUAUUGAUCGAAACGAAAAAAAAGUAUCAUACCGUGCAAUAGGUGGCACGUGUGAAAAUUACCUAACAGGGUUGAGGGAAUUAUAAAAAAAAAAAAAAAAAAACGAGAAAAAAACGAGAAAAAAGUCAUUUCUGGUAUUAAAUAUAGCUUUAUUGUGUAUUCUCUUUUAUAAGAGAUGCAUCAUCUGGCGCAAAGCGCUAAUAUAGUUCAACUGCGUAAAAAAGAUUUCUUGGCUCAGAAUCGCAGGCGAUGUUGUCGUUCCGUUUUAUAUCCAUAAAAUAAAAUGAGAAAAAUAAGCGUAUAUACAUGCAAAUUACAUAUGUAUUUAAAAUAAACGCAGUUUAGGUAUUUUCGGACGAAGGAAGAUAUUCUUACGGAGAAGAGUGUGUAUAAGUCGUCACUGUUCUUUGCUGCUCACCUUUCUCCCCUCUUUCCUAUAUACAUGGGUAAUUAUACAUGAGCCCGGUUGAAUCGAAAGCACACGUUUCGCUAAAACCACCCCCUUUGCCCCGCGCGCACAUUCGGAGUAAAAAGUAAAGAAAAAAAAAAAAAACGAACAGUCCAUUGAUACGGAAUUCCUACACCGAGAAAGAAUCGUGAAAAACUUUACGGUUCAGAGAAAACGUAGAAGAAGAAUAAAUUGGAAGAGAUGAUACGGCUGGGUAAUAAUUACCACGUUUUCGCACAGAUCUUUUGGUAAUUCGAUGAACGGGAAAUUCAGAAGAAAAAGAAAUCGAGCGAAUUCCAAAUUUUGAAACCCAUCGUAAAGUAAAUUUUUCAACGAAGCUGGAGGUUAUACAUACAUAUAUGUAUAGAAUCUCGAAUGUAAUACGCGUUCGACGCGAUGAAAAAAGUCGAUGCACUUACACGCGUAAGCCCCAUUAAUCAUAACGUUGGACAUUAUCGAAAGAUAAAUACCCUCGACCGAUAAUUAUCCGAGUGAGUAUUGGUAAGUAGGCUAACAAUGAAUUAGUGACUGUAAUAUACAUAGAGGUAACCAUAUGAACGUGAUCCAACAUCGGUAUAAGUGUAUGUAUUAUAAAUUUUGGCGCUACAAAUUACAAAUACCAUAACGCGCCCCGUCUUA